UACGUAGGGGCAAGCGUUUGUCCGGAUUUAUUGGGCGUAAAGAGCGUGUAGGCGGCCAAGCAGGUCAGCUGUGAAAACUCGAGGCUCAACCUCGAGACGUCGGUUGAAACCGCUUGGCUAGAGUCCGGAAGAGGAGAGUGGAAUUCCCGGUGUAGCGGUGAAAUGCGCAGAUAUCGGGGAAGAACACCCGUGGCGAAGGCGGCUCUCUGGGACGGUACUGACGCGUGAGGAGCGAAAGCGUGGGGAGCGAACAGG
rnacentral:rRNA from 1 species